rnacentral:rRNA from 1 species
CAGCAGCCGCGGUAAUACCGAGGGUGCAAGCGUUAAUCGGAAUUACUGGGCGUAAAGCGCGCGUAGGUGGUUUGUUAAGUUGGAUGUGAAAGCCCCGGGCUCAACCUGGGAACUGCAUCCAAAACUGGCAAGCUAGAGUACGGUAGAGGGUGGUGGAAUUUCCUGUGUAGCGGUGAAAUGCGUAGAUAUAGGAAGGAACACCAGUGGCGAAGGCGACCACCUGGACUGAUACUGACACUGAGGUGCGAAAGCGUGGGGAGCAAACAGGAUUAGAUACCCGAGUAGUCCCUGUCUCUUAUAC